UUCUGGCUCAAUAGCUCAGUCGGUAGAGCAUGAGACUCUUAAUCUCAGGGACACGGGUUCAAGUCCCAGGUUGGGAAG
rnacentral:tRNA from 1 species